GUCUUGUAAUUGGAAUGAUGGUGACCUAAACCCUCACCAGAGUAACAAUUGGAGGGCAAGUCUGGUGCCAGCAGCCGCGGUAAUUCCAGCUCCAAUAGCGUAUAUUAAACUUGUUGCAGUUAAAAAGCUCGUAGUUGAAUUUUUGCGUGGUGUUAAUAUUGACUGAUGUCGAGAUUGCACUUCGCUUUUGGGAUUUUUCCCUUUUUACUUUGAGAAAAUUAGAGUGUUUCAAGCAGACUUUUGUCUUGAAUACUUCAGCAUGGAAUAAUAGAGUAGGACUUUGGUUCUAUUUUGUUGGUUUGUGAACCUUAGUAAUGGUUAAUAGGAACGGUUGGGGGCAUUCGUAUUUAACUGUCAGAGGUGAAAUUCUUAGAUUUGUUAAAGACGAACUACUGCGAAAGCAUUUGCCAAGGACGUUUUCAUUAAUCAAGAACGAA
rnacentral:rRNA from 1 species